CACUUGUCCCUUGGGGACUGCUGGAUGACAUUGCUGGGGCAAGGGAGAGGUGCUGCCCUGGGUGAAGAGCUUUGAGCUCUGCUUGGUGACUGCAGGGUCUCCUGUCUGUUCCCAGGAAGGUUUACUCUGGAGAAUACACCAUCUUCCUGAUACCCUGCACGGUGCAGCCCACGCAGCCGUGGGCAGAGCUUGGAGCCAAGCCCCUGCCCUGCACGGCUCAUGCUCCCGAGCGGUUUUUGAUCCCGAUCUCCUUCCAGCAGACAAACCGCCCACUUCCAGUUGUUUACUCCCUGAACACAGAGUUUCAGCUCUGUAACAACGAGAAGGUUUUUCUAAUGGACCCCACCAAAUCAGAAAGGUCUCUGGCAGAAAUGGAUUACAAGGGGGCUUUUCCAAGGGGCAGAUCCUGUACGGGCGUGUGCUCUGGCACCCCGAACAAAACCUCAACGCCGCUUACAAGCUGCAGCUGGAGAAGGUCCACCUGUGCACAGGCAGGGCUGGCUACGUGCCCCUCUUCGACCCCACGG